AGGUGAAUGCGUUUGUGUGUGAUC
rnacentral:siRNA from 1 species